rnacentral:misc_RNA from 1 species
GAUGAAGAACGCAGCGAAAUGCGAUAAGUAGUGUGAAUUGCAGAAUUCAGUGAAUCAUCGAAUCUUUGAACGCACAUUGCGCCCGCCAGCAUUCUGGCGGGCAUGCCUGUUCGAGCGUCAUUUCAACCCUCGACCUCCCUUUGGGGAAGUCGGCGUUGGGGACCGGCAGCACACCGCCGGCCCUGAAAUGGAGUGGCGGCCCGUCCGCGGCGACCUCUGCGUAGUAAACCAACUCGCACCGGAACCCCGACGUGGCCACGCCGUAAAACACCCAACUUCUGAACGUUGACCUCGAAUCAGGUAGGACUACCCGCUGAACUUAAGCAUAUCAAUAAGCGGAGGA